AACCUGCCGCGAAGCAGCGAGCUCCGAGCCGGCCAGCAGCGCCCCGGCUCCGCGGGCAGCCAGAGUCCGAGCGGUGGCUGCAGCUCCGGGCCUGAGGCACGGACCAAUCGGAAGGAAUGAUGUAGCAGAAUCUCCCUCUCUACCUUCCCCAGCCUGACCAUGUGGACGGAGCCAGGCAUGGUUGAGACCCUACAUGACACAGUCCCUCUUAAUUUCUCAGAGAGGAGGAGAAGAGCAAGGAAGAGGGAGAGAUUGAGACUGAAAGACGGCUGCCAGAGAGGCACCUGGAGGCUAAUGUACUGAUCCCCAGCUGGUGCCGAUACGUGGGAGUGAUCUAUGGGCGUUAUUUCUGCACAGAGCCCACGUCCUCUCCUAGCUCUGGGUGCAGAGUCCACGACUGGUUCCUGGCACCUUUACGGAGCCAAAGAGCAAACAAGUGAACACAAAUCUCUAUGCCCAAGUGCGAGGCUGGUUUUAGCAGGGCUCUGGGGACAUUCAUUUGUGGGCUCCAGCAGGACCCUCUCUCCAAGCAGCUGCAGAGCUCAGACAGAGCUGGCCUGUCAUGGGGGCCCAGACGAGAGAGGACUGAUUGCCCGCGUCUCCUUGCCAUGAGUCCAUGUCAGAACGGCACAGCUGCUCCGAAAGCCAUGGCCUGCAAACCACAAACAGUGCUCAUUGGGAUGGUGCUCACCGUACUCAUUGUGGUCACCAUCUGCGGCAAUGUGAUUGUCUGCCUGGCUGUCUCCUUCAACCGCAAGCUCCGCAGCCUGACAAACUGCUUCAUCGUCUCCUUGGCCAUCACCGACCUGCUGCUGGGCCUCCUGGUGCUGCCCUUCUCAGCCAUCUACGAGCUCACGCGUGAGUGGCACUUCGGCCCCACCUUGUGCAACAUCUACAUCAGCCUGGACGUCAUGCUGUGCACAGCCUCCAUCCUCAACCUCUUCAUGAUCAGCAUAGACCGGUACUACGCCAUCACAGCCCCGCUCCGCUACACCCAGCUGGUCACCCCUCUGCGGGUGGCCGUGGCCAUGUUCGUCAUAUGGGUGGUCUCGCUGAUGGUCUCCUUCCUGCCUAUCCACCUGGGCUGGAACACCAAUGGCACCGGCGUGCAGAACACGGGCUUGAACAAUAGCUUGGUGUGCAAGCUGGCGGUCAAUGCCGAGUACGGGCUGGUGGAUGCCUUGCUCACCUUCUACCUUCCCUUGGUCGUUAUGUGCAUCACGUACUACCGCAUUUUCCGAAUAGCCAGGGAGCAGGCCAAGAGGAUCAGCCAUGCCACCUGCUGCAAGGCCUCCAGCCCUGCGCUGCUCACUGUGAAAGAGCACAAGGCCACAGUGACGCUGGCAGCCGUGCUGGGGGCUUUCAUCAUCUGCUGGUUCCCUUAUUUUACAGUGUUCACUUACCGAGGGAUGAAGGGGGACAAGGUGGAUGACACGUCCCAGUCCAUAGUUUUAUGGCUGGGCUAUGCCAACUCAGCCCUGAACCCCAUCCUGUACGCUGCUCUGAACAGGGACUUCCGGACAGCCUACCAGCGCCUGUUCCACUGUCGAAGGGUGGGGCCCCUUUCCAGGAGCACUCCCCUCACCCCCACACAUCUGCCCCACUCCAGGGCGAGAGCCCACAAGCAAGCACAGUGCAUGAAGGAAGAAAAGCCUCUGAGGAUGCAGGUGCGGAAUGGGAAGGAGAACUCACUCACUUGAGAAGCCACGGAAAGCUCUGGAGUUUUCCCCUGAGUCUUGGCCAGCCCGCCACAGUAGGCUCCGCUCUGGGACACGCACUCUCCGCCUUUGAUUCCUGGGUGUCCUCCUCCAAAAGCCAACGAGGACAAACGUUAAAAGGUCACAGUUAGAUUUGCCACUGGGGGAAGCCUAAAGGCAGAGAUGGGCCCAGUGGGAGUCCCGUCCCAUCUGGCUCAUCCUCCUCCACCAUCCUAUCCUGCUGGAGAGGCCUCUGGCUGGCCAAGUUCCUUCCCAAGAGGGGCAUGUGGAUCCCAGCAUGUGAGAAGCCGGCGACAGAGCUGCAGAAGAGAGUGAAGCCCCCAGCACCCCCUAGGGUCAUUUACUGUGUCUUCUCCUGAGCCAGGAUGCGUGGGCCAGGCAAGUGCUGAAUGCCAUCAAUAGCGGGCAAGCUUUGCUCAGGACCCAGAGACCCAGCCGAGCACCACGUCCAGCAUCUGGCUCUCCACAAGCGGAGCACUUUGGGGGGUGUUUGCAAACCCAGGGACAUAGAUCUGUAACAUAAUCCACCCUUCUGUGUGGGCACAACCCUGUGUGGGCACAGCUGUGGGUGUAUGUGUGUACACACCCCUGUGUGGGCACGGCUGUGGUUGUGUGUGGGUGGGUGUAUGUGUGUACGCACCCCUGUGUGGGCAUGGCUGAGGGUGUGCACGUGGGUGUAUGUGUGUACACGCUCGUGUGGUUAUGAGUGUGCACGUGGGUGUAUGUGUGUACACACUCCUGUGUGGGCACGGCUGUGGGUGUGCAUGUGGUUGUAUGUAUGUACGCACCCUUGUGUGGGCAUGGCUGUGGGUGUGCACGUGGGUAUAUGUAUGCACACGCCCAUGUGGGCAUGGUUGUGGAUGUGCAGGUGGGUGUAUGUAUGUAUGCACUCCUGUACAUAUAUAUAUAUGGGGGCAAAUUAAAUUAUGUACAUCUGGGGAAACAAGCCUCUCCCCAGAACGGCGCUCCUUGUUCUCUGCCUCUCCUUCUCCCCACCCACUCCCCUCCCCGGCUAGACGCGGCUAGGUCAGCCUGUGAGCUCACAGGGCCAGGGACCAUGUUGGGUCAAUUCAGUGAGAUGUUGUGAGCCAGAUAAACGGUGUGGAAGAGAGGGAGGAGCUGGACACUUGGGGCUGUGCCAGGGCGGGUACAACCCACCGGAAUGGGGUGUUUGGGGCUGGACCCCCUGUGUCCCCGCAGCCCAGUGCAGCUGGUGCUAUAUCACAGGACCACCUCAGGUUCCCAGGCUCGGGCACCGUUUUCCCUUGUCUCUGUUUGGGGAGAUGCUGUUCAUGGCUCCUGAUAAUCUGAGGCCCGGUGUCUGGCCAGCACCAUGUGCUACCGAGGCAUCAAAGCGUCUGCAUGGCACCCUCGGGCCAUGCCAAGCCUCCUCCCUGGCUGAGGAGAUUUUCCAGCUCAGUCCCAGGGUGAGGUGCGUCCUGAAGGGCUCCUAGUGUGAAGCCUGGCCCUGCUGAGCUGAUAGCUGUUGGCUGGGGGACUGAGCAAAGAGCCAGGGCCUCAGCUUGGUCUCCAGGGUAGAGUGCCUGCCCCUUUGCUUCCUAUCUGUGUGAGUCCCAGGGGGCUGAAAACUCCCACUGUGUGUGUGCCUGUGCGUGUGUGUAGCCAGUGUGAA